AACGAACGCUGGCGGCAUGCCUAACACAUGCAAGUCGAACGAGAUCUUCGGGUCUAGUGGCGCACGGGUGCGUAACGCGUGGGAAUCUGCCCUUUGGUUCGGAAUAACAGUUGGAAACGACUGCUAAUACCGGAUGAUGACGAAAGUCCAAAGAUUUAUCGCCAGAGGAUGAGCCCGCGUAGGAUUAGCUAGUUGGUGUGGUAAAGGCGCACCAAGGCGACGAUCCUUAGCUGGUCUGAGAGGAUGAUCAGCCACACUGGGACUGAGACACGGCCCAGACUCCUACGGGAGGCAGCAGUGGGGAAUAUUGGACAAUGGGCGAAAGCCUGAUCCAGCAAUGCCGCGUGAGUGAUGAAGGCCUUAGGGUUGUAAAGCUCUUUUACCCGGGAUGAUAAUGACAGUACCUGCAGAAAAAGCACCGGCUAACUACGUGCCAGCCGCCGCCGUAA
rnacentral:rRNA from 1 species